AUUGAACGCUGGCGGCAGGCCUAACACAUGCAAGUCGAACGAGUGGCGGACGGGUGAGUAAUGUCUGGGAAACUGCCUGAUGGAGGGGGAUAACUACUGGAAACGGUAGCUAAUACCGCAUACCAUCGGAUGUGCCCAGAUGGGAUUAGCUAGUGGGAUGGGUAAGGGCUCACCUAGGCGACGAUCCCUAGCUGGUCUGAGAGGAUGACCAGCGACACUGGAACUGAGCAACGGUCCUGACUCCUACGGGAGGCAUCAGUGGGGAAUAGUGCACAAUGGGCGCAAGCCUGAUGCAGCCAUGCCGAGUGUAUGAAGAAGGCCUUCGGGUUGUAAAGUACUUUCAUCGGGGAGGCGUUACCCGCAGAAGAAGCACCGGCUAACUCCGUGCCAGCAGCCGCGGUAAUUC
rnacentral:rRNA from 1 species